rnacentral:misc_RNA from 1 species
GUAUUGUAUUGCGUUAAACGCGACAUACAUUCCAUGAGACUUUGUUACGGUGUGUGUGUAAAGAUGUAGGACCACGGCAAGGGGACGGGGUCCCCAAGGCCAUAGAGCUACAGAGGGUGCACAGGUGUGAGUGGAUGUGUAAACAGAGCGUGCACAUGCCCCCUUCCGAGGGCCAGCAACAGCUCAUGUCGACAGUUCGGUAAUGAUCCUUCCGCAGGUUCACCUACGGAAA